GGUCAAGUUAUAAAGAGUGCAUGGUGGAUGCCUUGGCGUCGAGAGGCGAUGAAGGACGUGGUAGGCUGCGAUAUGCUCCGGGGAGUGGUCAAACGCGCUUUGAUCCGGAGAUCUCCGAAUGGGGAAACCCAAUGUCACUGGGCAACCAGAUGGCAUUAUCCAUGGAUGAAUGCAUAGUCCAUGGAAGCGAACCCAGUGAACUGAAACAUCUCAGUAGCUGGAGGAAAGGAAAUCAACCGAGACUCCGUAAGUAGCGGCGAGCGAAAGCGGAUCUAGCCCAAACCGGGCCUUGUGUCCGGGGUUGCGGGCCCUCGAGGAGUUACAAAAGCAUCGUUAGAAGAACGAUCUGGAAAGGUCGGCCAUAGCGGGUGACAGCCCCGUAUUCGAAAGCGAUUGCUCUCCAUUGAGAGGUGUCCCAGAGUAGCGUAGAGCUCGUGGAAUUCUGCGUGAAUCCGGGGGGACCACCCUCCAAGGCUAAGUACUACUCGACGACCGAUAGUAAACAAGUAAGGUGACUGAAUGGUGAAAAGAACCCCUUUAAGGGGAGUCAAAAGAACCUGAAACCAUGUACUUACAAGCUGUGGGAGCUCGAUUGCUUCGCUUCGGCGUAGCGCGAGUGACCGCGUGCCUUUUGCAUAAUGAACCGGCGAGUUAUCGUCUGUGGCAAGGUUAAUGUGUUUCGCACAGGAGCCGUAGGGAAACCGAGUCUGAAUAGGGCGAAUUAGUCGCAGGUGAUAGACGCGAAACCAAGUGAUCUACCCAUGGCCAGGUUGAAGCGACUGUAAAAGGUUGCGGAGGACCGAACGGGUUAACGUUGAAAAGUUAUCCGAUGAGCUGUGGGGAGGAGUAAAAGUCUAAUCAAACUUGGAGAUAUCUCGUUCUCCCCGAAAUAGCUUUAG
rnacentral:rRNA from 1 species